AGAAACAUUUCUUUUCUUCUGCUGUUUUAUUGUGAAGCUGAAAAUGUGUUUCAAGUCACUUUGUGCUGUUUCAGGCUUUCCAUGUUAGUUUUUCCAUCAUUAGUGGAGGAUUCAUCUGCAGCCACUGUUCCAUCAGAAAAGCUCAAUAAUGUGUGAAAACAUGUUGAAAUGUGACUGAACAACUAAAGUUAUUCUUUAUUUCUGCAAAUAUCAGUGAGCUUACAAAUAUUCAGUGUUUUUAUUUCUUUAGUCUUUGAUUCUGUGGCGUCUCUUGGUUUGUGAACAGAAGAAGAAAAGUGAUGUUAAACAAAACACAGCAAAUGUUGAUAAAUGGAUUUAAGAGAAAUCUUAACUUUAAAUAUGGUACAAUACAAAUAUAUACAAAUAUACAAACAGUCAAAUUUACAUGCUGUCAAUUAAAACAGUAAUUUAAGAUCUGAAACUGUGAGUUGAAACAUAGUCUGAAAGAUAUGACAAUAAGUAUAAUUAAUGCACUUUUGUUUACACUAAAAAAAUUAGUGUUCAAUCACAGAAACAAAGUUCAGAACAUAAUCGUAAUUAGUUUUACUUCCAUAUCACCUUUUAAAACAAGAGUGUCAACGUGCUGAACAAAACAUUAAAAUCAGACAAUAGAGAGUGACAAUUAAAAAGACAAAGACAAUUAAUUAUUAGUAAAAAAAAAAGAAACCUUUGAAAAACACUAAAUAGUCACUUUUAUGUAUCUUAAUGUGUGUUUGAUAUCAAAUCUAAAUAUUUCAUGUAAGAAAAUAGAGUUUAAAAAUAUUUGGAGGUAAAUGUCAUAAGAUAAAAAAACAUAGUCCUUUAUUACUUCCCACGUCCGAGGAAAUUUCCAGUGCUACAGCAUCAAAAAUCUUUCAGAGCAGCGCUAAACAUAUCAAAUAUUGUACAUAUUAUAUUUAAGCGUUAAAUUUAAAUCGAAGGAAUGAUGUGAUCAUUAAUCUUAAAAGAUACCAUUUAAAAUUGUGAAUACAUUUUCUAAACAUGUGAACACCUCACUGUAACUGAGUUUAAUUAUUACUUUUUACAUUUUUCCAUUUUAUUUACGUUGCUGACUCAGUAAUUGAUCUGUGUUUCUAUGAUUUGAAGUAUUUGGUGGUAAAUAUUUCAAGUGUUAAAUAUUCUGUAAUCACUGAAGUGACAGAAGAAUUUUCUGUGAAGAUAAAUAUGUUUGUUAGUCGAAUAAACAUAUAGGAAUCUUAAGAUGAAGGGAAAUUGUCAUUUUAUGUUUGAUAUGAAGCUGAAUACAGCGUCUGUGGUGAACUUUGUGUUGUAUUGAUGAGUUUAUUGAUCAGAGUCCGUGGAGUUUCCAGGAUCAGACUGAAUGCAGCUCAGUGCUGGAAGCUGCUGGUGACUGAAUGAAUGUUUGUGCUGCUUGUUGCUGCUGUCCAGCUCCAGGUGAGCAGGUAGUGAAGCCCGUGGUGAGCGUGUACCCAGCAGCAUCCAGAGUCCACCUGGAGGGGAGCAGCUCCCUGCUGUGUCUGGCCUCAGCCAUGUUUCCUCCUCUGGUCCGCUUCUCCUGGAAAAGACAGAAGGAGGACGGCCAGCUGGAGGAUGUGGACCCUGCUGAGGGAGAGCAGCUGGAGAUCAGAGAGCCGGGACGCAGCGCCUCCAUCUUGCUGAUCCAUCAGCAACAGAACAGCACAUAUAAAUACAGCUGCUACGUCCAGCACGAGGGGGUAACAGUGGGACCAGUGGAGGCCCAGACACAACAAGCCUCCUUGCAGUCUCAGGUGAAUCUGCUCUGUCUGCUGUCCACAGUGCUGAUAGUGAAGAGUCUGGUGUUCUGCUGUGGACUCUCUCUGCUGAUGAUCCUCACAAACAAGGGACCGUCCACCAACUGCACACAUGCUGACUGACUGUUUGCUGCUGGACUUUUCUCACCGUCACAUCUCAUCAAUACGUCUCAUUCAUCUCUUUGAUCAGUGAUCAGAAAUAUCAGCUGUGACGUGUUGUUCUUGGCUGUAAAAUGCUUCUCUUAAUUCACAUGUUUGAUCGUCAUCCUGUAAACACAAAUAUUCACAAAUAUAUUUUCAGUUUUACAGUUUAAUUUCUGCAGGACAAUCUCCUUUUUACAUUUGAGUCUUAUGUUUCUUUAUGAAGUAUUAUGUAGAGUGCAACAGGUUUAUGAAGAAACAAUAAAAUUACAAUAUUUGAGUUUGAUAAACAGCUUUUAAUGGAUUUUAUAGCAACUGAUCACAUAUUUGUUGUCAUGUGGUGUUCGAUACAGUAUUAAAAUGUUUCUCUUCUUUAAACUUUACUUUUAACUUUUUAAUUGUGACAUUUACAGACCAAAUUCAACUGAAUUAUUUGCUGUCUUGUACAUAUUUCAACAUUUACCAUCUCACUUCUUUCUUCUUGGUUUUAUUUUUAAUAUAUAAUCAGAAUGUUGAAGAUUGUUCACAUUUAUUCAGAACAGCAUUUUCAAUAAAGUGAAGAUCACA